rnacentral:tRNA from 1 species
UUUCUGGUGGCUCAGUGGUAAAGAACCUGCUUGUCAAUGAAGGAGACACAGGUUCAAUCCCUGACCAGGAAG